rnacentral:rRNA from 1 species
CGCGUAGGCGGCUAGGCAAGUCAGAGGUGAAAUCCCUCGGCUCAACCGAGGAACUGCCUCUGAUACUGCCUGGCUUGAGUCCCGGAGAGGGUAGUGGAAUUCCCAGUGUAGCGGUGAAAUGCGUAGAUAUUGGGAGGAACACCGGUGGCGAAGGCGGCUACCUGGACGGGUACUGACGCUGAGGCGCGAAAGCGUGGGGAGCAAACA